GACGAACGCUGGCGGCGUGCCUAAUACAUGCAAGUCGAACGCAUUUUCUUUCACCGUAGCUUGCUACACCGAAAGAAAAUGAGUGGCGAACGGGUGAGUAACACGUGGGUAACCUGCCCAUCAGCGGGGGAUAACACUUGGAAACAGGUGCUAAUACCGCAUAAUUCCAUUUACUGCAUGGUAGAUGGAUGAAAGGCGCUUUUGCGUCACUGAUGGAUGGACCCGCGGUGCAUUAGCUAGUUGGUGGGGUAACGGCCUACCAAGGCUGCGAUGCAUAGCCGACCUGAGAGGGUGAUCGGCCACACUGGGACUGAGACACGGCCCAGACUCCUAAGGGAGGCAGCAGUAGGGAAUCUUCGGCAAUGGACGCAAGUCUGACCGAGCAACGCCGCGUGAGUGAAGAAGGGUUUCGGAUCGUAAAACUCUGUUGUUAGAAAAGAAAAAGGAUGAGAGUGGAAAGUUCAUCCCUUGACGGUAUCUAACCAGAAAGCCACGGCUAACUACGUG
rnacentral:rRNA from 1 species